CGAGCGGUAGCACAGAGAGCUUGCUCUCGGGUGACGAGCGGCGGACGGGUGAGUAAUGUCUGGGAAACUGCCUGAUGGAGGGGGAUAACUACUGGAAACGGUAGCUAAUACCGCAUAACGUCGCAAGACCAAAGUGGGGGACCUUCGGGCCUCAUGCCAUCAGAUGUGCCCAGAUGGGAUUAGCUAGUAGGUGGGGUAACGGCUCACCUAGGCGACGAUCCCUAGCUGGUCUGAGAGGAUGACCAGCCACACUGGAACUGAGACACGGUCCAGACUCCUACGGGAGGCAGCAGUGGGGAAUAUUGCACAAUGGGCGCAAGCCUGAUGCAAGCCAUGCCGCGUGUGUGAAGAAGGCCUUCGGGUUGUAAAGCACUUUCAGCGGGGAGGAAGGCGAUAAGGUUAAUAACCUUGUCGAUUGACGUUACCCGCAGAAGAAGCCCCGGCUAACUCCGUGCCAGCAGCCGCGGUAAUACGGAGGGUGCAAGCGUUAAUCGGAAUUACUGGGCGUAAAGCGCACGCAGGCGGUCUGUCAAGUCGGAUGUGAAAUCCCCGGGCUCAACCUGGGAACUGCAUUCGAAACUGGCAGGCUAGAGUCUUGUAGAGGGGGGUAGAAUUCCAGGUGUAGCGGUGAAAUGCGUAGAGAUCUGGAGGAAUACCGGUGGCGAAGGCGGCCCCCUGG
rnacentral:rRNA from 1 species